rnacentral:lncRNA from 1 species
AGAGCCGAAGAUUGAAGCUUGAAGAAGUCCAGCGUUUCAGAUCAGAUGAGGAGCACUGGCUGGUAAAUGAAGAAGGAGAAGGAGCAACUGAAGAGGCAGUAGACAAUCCAAACGGAUCUAGUAUCAUGGAAACCAAGUCAGUGGAGGAUCUACUGGAGUGGCAUGGUCAGCUUUGUUGUGCUUUGAUAAGAGGGUCAACUCAGAUUCUCCAAGAAGCAGGCACCAAGACAGAAUUAGAUGUGAAAGAAAUACACUCAGAGAAAUGCUCUUGAAGGAUAAAGACGCCAAGGAGCAAGAGGAACUGUAAAAACCUCCAGAUCAUGUUGCUGUUUUCAAUAGUUCUUUAUAUAGAACUAAAUGAAAUUGUCUGAGUUUUGACAAUUAUAAUAUUUUAUUUCUGAUUAAUCAGAAAAUAGUUUGCCAUAAAAAUUUAUCACUUCUGAUAUUAGCACAUAAAUUUGUUUUUAUUGUAAUUUCAAAACUAAUGUCAAGACUGAGCAAAUCAUAAGAUGGAAGCACCUGUGAGUGCCUGGGACCCUCAAGAUCAUCAAAUCCAGCUUUCCCUGCAGAGAUGGUCUUUCAACUUUUGCCUGAACAUCAUCCUUGUGAGGGAAAUCGUUUCAUCACAAAGCAAUCCAGUUUACUACUGGAACACUGCAAUUAUUUGAAGCAAAACAUCUGGAUCUACUGGAUAACACUGCUCACCAACACUGGUCAUCUUUGUCUUUACCCAAGGCAAGUAUGCCACCUUAUAAAGGACUUUGCACUGGACAUGAUGGUUUACACCCUACUCGAGAGGCUGAAGUGGGAAGAUCAUUUGAGCCCAGGGG